AACGAACGCUGGCGGCAGGCCUAACACAUGCAAGUCGAACGCUCCGCAAGGUGAGUGGCGCACGGGUGAGUAAAACGUGGGAAUGUACCCCUUGGUUCGGAAUAACGUCUGGAAAUGGACGCUAAUACCGGAUGAGCCCUGCGGGGGAAAGAUUUAUCGCCAAAGGAGCAGCCCGCGUCUGAUUAGCUUGUUGGUGGGGUAAAGGCCUACCAAGGCGACGAGCAGUAGAUGGUCUGAGAGGAUGAGCAGCCACACUGGGACUGAGACACGGCCCAGACUCCUACGGGAGGCAGCGGGGGGGAAUAUUGGACAAUGAGCGGAAGCCUGAGCCAGCAAGGCCGCGUGAGUGAUGAAGGCCUUCGGGUUGUAAAGCUCUUGCGCACGCGACGAUGAUGACGGUAGCGUGAGAAGAAGCCCCGGCUAACUUCGUGCCAGCCGCCGCAGUAA
rnacentral:rRNA from 1 species